CCGGCGGGGGUGGCCUAAUACAUGCAGUCGACGCGUUGGCCCAAUUGAUUGAUGGUGCUUGCACCUGAUUGAUUUUGGUCGCCAACGAGUGGCGGACGGGUGAGUAACACGUAGGUAACCUGCCCAGAAGCGGGGGACAACAUUUGGAAACAGAUGCUAAUACCGCAUAACAGCGUUGUUCGCAUGAACAACGCUUAAAAGAUGGCUUCUCGCUAUCACUUCUGGAUGGACCUGCGGUGCAUUAGCUUGUUGGUGGGGUAACGGCCUACCAAGGCGAUGAUGCAUAGCCGAGUUGAGAGACUGAUCGGCCACAAUGGGACUGAGACACGGCCCAUACUCCUACGGGAGGCAGCAGUAGGGAAUCUUCCACAAUGGGCGCAAGCCUGAUGGAGCAACACCGCGUGAGUGAAGAAGGGUUUCGGCUCGUAAAGCUCUGUUGUUAAAGAAGAACACGUAUGAGAGUAACUGUUCAUACGUUGACGGUAUUUAACCAGAAAGUCACGGCUAACUACGUGCCAGCAGCCGCGGUAAUACGUAGGUGGCAAGCGUUAUCCGGAUUUAUUGGGCGUAAAGAGAGUGCAGGCGGUUUUCUAAGUCUGAUGUGAAAGCCUUCGGCUUAACCGGAGAAGUGCAUCGGAAACUGGAUAACUUGAGUGCAGAAGAGGGUAGUGGAACUCCAUGUGUAGCGGUGGAAUGCGUAGAUAUAUGGAAGAACACCAGUGGCGAAGGCGGCUACCUGGUCUGCAACUGACGCUGAGACUCGAAAGCAUGGGUAGCGAACAGGAUUAGAUACCCUGGUAGUCCAUGCCGUAAACGAUGAGUGCUAGGUGUUGGAGGGUUUCCGCCCUUCAGUGCCGGAGCUAACGCAUUAAGCACUCCGCCUGGGGAGUACGACCGCAAGGUUGAAACUCAAAGGAAUUGACGGGGGCCCGCACAAGCGGUGGAGCAUGUGGUUUAAUUCGAAGCUACGCGAAGAACCUUACCAGGUCUUGACAUCUUGCGCCAACCCUAGAGAUAGGGCGUUUCCUUCGGGAACGCAAUGACAGGUGGUGCAUGGUCGUCGUCAGCUCGUGUCGUGAGAUGUUGGGUUAAGUCCCGCAACGAGCGCAACCCUUGUUACUAGUUGCCAGCAUUAAGUUGGGCACUCUAGUGAGACUGCCGGUGACAAACCGGAGGAAGGUGGGGACGACGUCAGAUCAUCAUGCCCCUUAUGACCUGGGCUACACACGUGCUACAAUGGACGGUACAACGAGUCGCGAACUCGCGAGGGCAAGCAAAUCUCUUAAAACCGUUCUCAGUUCGGACUGCAGGCUGCAACUCGCCUGCACGAAGUCGGAAUCGCUAGUAAUCGCGGAUCAGCAUGCCGCGGUGAAUACGUUCCCGGGCCUUGUACACACCGCCCGUCACACCAUGAGAGUUUGUAACACCCAAAGUCGGUGGGGUAACCUUUUAGGAGCCAGCCGCCUAAGGUGACCAGAUUG
rnacentral:rRNA from 1 species